rnacentral:rRNA from 1 species
UACGGGGGGGCAAGCGUUGUUCGGAAUUACUGGGCGUAAAGGCUCGUAGGCGGCCAACUAAGUCAUACGUGAAAUCCCUCGGCUUAACCGGGGAACUGCGUCUGAUACUGGAUGGCUUGAGUUCGGGAGAGGGAUGCGGAAUUCCAGGUGUAGCGGUUGAAAUGCGUAGAUAAUCUGGAGGAACACCGGUGGCGAAGGCGGCAUCCUGGACCGAUACUGACGCUGAUGAGCGAAA